rnacentral:rRNA from 1 species
GAUGAACGCUAGCUACAGGCUUAACACAUGCAAGUCGAGGGGCAGCAUGGUCUUAGCUUGCUAAGGUCGAUGGCGACCGGCGCACGGGUGAGUAACGCGUAUCCAACCUGCCUUACACUCUUGGACAGCCUUCUGAAAGGGAGAUUAAUACAAGAUGUUAUCAUGAGUAAGCAUUUUCGCAUGAUUAAAGGUUUACCGGUGUAAGAUGGGGAUGCGUUCCAUUAGAUAGUAGGCGGGGUAACGGCCCACCUAGUCUUCGAUGGAUAGGGGUUCUGAGAGGAAGGUCCCCCACAUUGGAACUGAGACACGGUCCAAACUCCUACGGGAGGCAGCAGUGAGGAAUAUUGGUCAAUGGACGAGAGUCUGAACCAGCCAAGUAGCGUGAAGGAUGAAGGUUCUAUGGAUUGUAAACUUCUUUUAUACGGGAAUAAACGAAUCCACGUGUGGAUUUUUGCAUGUACCGUAUGAAUAAGGAUCGGCUAACUCCGUGCCAGCAGCCGCGGUAAUACGGAGGAUCCGAGCGUUAUCCGGAUUUAUUGGGUUUAAAGGGAGCGUAGAUGGGUUGUUAAGUCAGUUGUGAAAGUUUGCGGCUCAACCGUAAAAUUGCAAUUGAUACUGGCAGUCUUGAGUACAGUUGAGGUAGGCGGAAUUCGUGGUGUAGCGGUGAAAUGCUUAGAUAUCACGAAGAACUCCGAUUGCGAAGGCAGCUUACUAACCUGUAACUGACAUUGAUGCUCGAAAGUGUGGGUAUCAAACAGGAUUAGAUACCCUGGUAGUCCACACGGUAAACGAUGAAUACUCGCUGUAGGCGAUAUACAGUCUGCGGCCAAGCGAAAGCAUUAAGUAUUCCACCUGGGGAGUACGCCGGCAACGGUGAAACUCAAAGGAAUUGACGGGGGCCCGCACAAGCGGAGGAACAUGUGGUUUAAUUCGAUGAUACGCGAGGAACCUUACCCGGGCUUAAAUUGCAACCGAAUAUGGCGGAAACGCUAUAGCUAGCAAUAGCGGUUGUGAAGGUGCUGCAUGGUUGUCGUCAGCUCGUGCCGUGAGGUGUCGGCUUAAGUGCCAUAACGAGCGCAACCCUUGCCGAUAGUUACUAACAGGUUAUGCUGAGGACUCUGUCGGGACUGCCAUCGUAAGAUGUGAGGAAGGUGGGGAUGACGUCAAAUCAGCACGGCCCUUACGUCCGGGGCUACACACGUGUUACAAUGGGGGGUACAGAGGGCUGCUACCACGCAAGUGGAUGCCAAUCCCAAAAACCUCUCUCAGUUCGGAUUGAAGUCUGCAACCCGACUUCAUGAAGCUGGAUUCGCUAGUAAUCGCGCAUCAGCCACGGCGCGGUGAAUACGUUCCCGGGCCUUGUACACACCGCCCGUCAAGCCAUGGGAGCCGGGGGUACCUGAAGUGCGUAACCGCAAGGAGCGCCCUAGGGUAAAACUGGUGACUGGGGCUAAGU